rnacentral:rRNA from 1 species
GACAGAGGUUGCAAACGUUGUUCGGAAUUACUGGGCAUAAAGCGCACGUAGGUGGUCCGCUAAGUCGGAUGUGAAAUUCCCCGGCUCAACCGGGGAACGGCAAUCGAUACUGGCGGGCUUGAGGUCCGGAGGGGUGAGUGGAACUCCUGGUGGAGCGGUGAAAUGCGUAGAUAUCAGGAGGAACACCGAUAGCGAAGGCAGCUCGCUGGGACGGUACUGACGCUGAGGUGCGAAAGCGUGGGGAGCGAACAGG